GCUGAUUUAGCUCAAUUGGCAGAGCAACCGCCUUGUAAGCGGUAGGUUGUAGGUUCAACUCCUACAAUCAGCACCA
rnacentral:tRNA from 1 species